UGGGGAAUAUUGGGCAAUGGGCGAAAGCCUGACCCAGCGACGCCGCGUGGGUGAUGAAGGCCUUCGGGUUGUAAAACCCUUUCGUGCGGAAAGAAUAGUCUCGUAGCGAAUAACUACGGGAUUUGACGGUACCGCAGGAAGAAGCACCGGCUGACUCCGUGCCAGCAGCCGCGGUAAUACGGAAGGUGCAAGCGUUGUUCGGAAUUAUUGGGCGUAAAGGGCGCGUAGGUGGUUGUGAUAGUCAGAUGUGAAAUCCUUCGGCUCAACCGAAGAACUGCAUCUGAAACUUCAUAGCUCGAGUACAGGAGAGGGAAACGGAAUUCCCGGUGUAGAGGUGAAAUUCGUAGAUAUCGGGAGGAACACCAGUGGCGAAGGCGGUUUCCUGGCCUGAUACUGACGCUGAGGCGCGAAAGCGUGGGGAGCAAACAG
rnacentral:rRNA from 1 species